rnacentral:rRNA from 1 species
UACAGAGGUCCCAAGCGUUGUUCGGAUUCACUGGGCGUAAAGGGUGCGUAGGCGGUCGGGUAAGUCUGAUGUGAAAUCUCAGAGCUCAACUCUGAAACUGCAUUGGAUACUAUUCGGCUUGAGGUCUGGAGGGGGACUGGAAUUCCCGGUGUGAGCGGUGGAAAUGCGCAGAUAUCGGGAGGAACACCGGUGGCGAAGGCGGUUCUCUGGGCCUUACCUGACGCUGAGGAGCGAAAGCGUGGGGAGC